UACGGAGGGUGCGAGCGUUGUCCGGAAUCACUGGGCGUAAAGGGCGCGUAGGCGGCUCGGUAAGUAGGGGGUGAAAUCCUGCGGCUUAACCGCAGGGCUGCCUUCUAAACUGUCGAGCUCGAGCACGGUAGAGGCAGAUGGAGUUCCCGGUGUAGCGGUGGAAUGCGUAGAGAUCGGGAAGAACAUCAGUGGCGAAGGCGGUCUGCUGGGCCGUUGCUGACGCUGAGGCGCGACAGCGUGGGGAGCAAACAGG
rnacentral:rRNA from 1 species